GGGUGAGUAACACGUGAGUAACCUGCCCCAGGCUUUGGGAUAACCCCGGGAAACCGGGGCUAAUACCGGAUAUGACUGGCUGCCGCAUGGUGGUUGGUGGAAAGAUUUUUCGGCUUGGGAUGGACUCGCGGCCUAUCAGCUUGUUGGUGGGGUAAUGGCCUACCAAGGCGGCGACGGGUAGCCGGCCUGAGAGGGCGACCGGCCACACUGGGACUGAGACACGGCCCAGACUCCUACGGGAGGCAGCAGUGGGGAAUCUUGCACAAUGGGCGGAAGCCUGAUGCAGCGACGCCGCGUGAGGGAUGACGGCCUUCGGGUUGUAAACCUCUUUCAGCAGGGACGAAGCGUUUGUGACGGUACCUGCAGAAGAAGCGCCGGCCAACUACGUGCCAGCAGCCGCGGUAAGACGUAGGGCGCGAGCGUUGUCCGGAUUUAUUGGGCGUAAAGAGCUCGUAGGCGGCUUGUCGCGUCGACUGUGAAAACCCGUGGCUCAACUGCGGGCUUGCAGUCGAUACGGGCAGGCUAGAGUUCGGUAGGGGAGACUGGAAUUCCUGGUGUAGCGGUGAAAUGCGCAGAUAUCAGGAGGAACACCGGUGGCGAAGGCGGGUCUCUGGGCCGAUACUGACGCUGAGGAGCGAAAGCGUGGGGAGCGAACAGGAUUAGAUACCCUGGUAGUCCACG
rnacentral:rRNA from 1 species